UACGAAGGGGGCUAGCGUUGCUCGGAAUCACUGGGCGUAAAGCGCACGUAGGCGGAUUGCUAAGUCAGGGGUGAAAUCCUGGAGCUCAACUCCAGAACUGCCUUUGAUACUGGCGAUCUUGAGUCCGGGAGAGGUGAGUGGAACUGCGAGUGUAGAGGUGAAAUUCGUAGAUAUUCGCAAGAACACCAGUGGCGAAGGCGGCUCACUGGCCCGGUACUGACGCUGAGGUGCGGAAAGCGUGGGGAGCAAACAGG
rnacentral:rRNA from 1 species